CCCUUAGAUGUUCUGGGCCGCACGCGCGCUACACUGACUGGUGCAACAAGUGUCGCUCCUUGGCCGAUAGGCCUGGGCAAUCUUUGAACGCCAGUCGUGAUGGGGAUAGAUUCUUGCAAUUUUUGAUCUUCAACGAGGAAUUCCUAGUAAACGCGAGUCAUCAACUCGCAUUGAUUACGUCCCUGCCCUUUGUACACACCGCCCGUCGCACCUACCGAUUGAAUGGUCCGGUGAACCCUCCGGAUCGGCCCGCGCCAACGCAAGUUGGGCAAAGGCCGAGAAGUUGGGUAAACCUUACCAUUUAGAGGAAGGUGAAGUCGUAACA
rnacentral:rRNA from 1 species